CGCGGUUAUACAAUAAAUAUAAAUAAUUAUUUAUAGGUUUUAUUUAAUUUGUUUUAAGGUUUUAUUUUUAUAUAUUUAAGUGAAAUUUUUAUAUAAAUUAUAUUGAUUAUAUUUAUGAUUUAAAUAUUAAAACUUUCUUUUAAACCAGGAUUAGAUACCCUGUUAUAAUAAGUUGUAAAGAUUUUAUGCUUUAAAAUUAAUAGUUAUGUUCUUAAAAUUAAAAAAAUUUGGCGGUAAUUUAUCUUUUUAGAGGAAUCUGUCCCAUUAUUGAUAUUCCACGUUUAAUUUUACUUUAAUUUAACUUAUAUAUCGCUGUUAUGAAUGUUUUAUUAGAAUAUUUUCUAUAAAUUUUAUAAAUUUUAUAUCAGGUCAAGGUGUAGUUGUAUUAAAGUCGGAGAUGGAUUACAUUAAAAAAAUUUAUGGAGUUAUAAUUGUAAUAUUAUAAGGAAAUUGGAUUUAAUUGUAAAAUUUUAUUAUUUUAUAUUUUUGAUAAUAGGUUCUAAAUUAUGUACAUAUCGCCCGUCGCUCUCAUUUAUUAAGGUGAGAUAAGUCGUAACAAAGUAGGCCUAUCGGAAGAUGGGCCUAGAAAGAUUA
rnacentral:rRNA from 1 species